rnacentral:rRNA from 1 species
GAUGAACGCUGACAGAAUGCUUAACACAUGCAAGUCUACCUGAAUUUGGGUUUUUUAACUUAGAUUUGGGUGGCGGACGGGUGAGUAACGCGUAAAGAACUUGCCUCACAGCUAGGGACAACAUUUGGAAACGAAUGCUAAUACCUGAUAUUAUGAUUAUAAGGCAUCUUAGAAUUAUGAAAGCUAUAUGCGCUGUGAGAGAGCUUUGCGUCCCAUUAGCUAGUUGGAGAGGUAACGGCUCACCAAGGCGAUGAUGGGUAGCCGGCCUGAGAGGGUGAACGGCCACAAGGGGACUGAGACACGGCCCUUACUCCUACGGGAGGCAGCAGUGGGGAAUAUUGGACAAUGGACCAAGAGUCUGAUCCAGCAAUUCUGUGUGCACGAUGACGUUUUUCGGAAUGUAAAGUGCUUUCAGUUGGGAAGAAAAAAAUGACGGUACCAACAGAAGAAGUGACGGCUAAAUACGUG